AUUGAACGCUGGCGGCAGGCCUAACACAUGCAAGUCGAGCGAGAGGCGGAUGGGGGUGUAAUAUAUGGGGACUGCCCCCUAGAGGGGGAUAACAACUGGAAAAGGUAGCUAAUACCGCAUACUAUCGGAUAGCACAUAUGGGAUUAUGUAGUAGGUGAGGUAAUGGCUCACCUAGGCUACGAUCUCUAGCUGGUCUGAGAGGGUGAUCAGCCACACUGGGACUGAGACACGGCCCAGACUCCUACGGAGGCAGCAGUGGGGAAUAUUGCACAAUGGGCGCAAGCCUGAUGCAGCCAUGCCGCGUGUAUGAAGAAGGCCUUAGGGUUGUAAAGUACUUUCAGUCGGGAGGCGUUACCGACAGAAGAAGCACCGGCUAACUCCGUGCCAGCCGCCGCGGUAAUUC
rnacentral:rRNA from 1 species